GCUCCCAUCGAUUUUCAUGCGAUGUAAUAUAUCCAUAUUGUAUUUUGACUUUAACAACCAUUUGGUUUCAUCCAGCAGUUAACAUGGCACCAUUCACAUCCGUCAGAAUUGCAAAACUAUAGAACAAAUAAUUGCCAGCAUGAGAUAUUUACUUAGAAACAUGGUAGCACAUCAAUGAAUGAAAAGAAAAGUAGGGCAGGGGAGGGGUUUAAUUAACAAACAAAAUACUUACCAUAAUUUCAACUUGCAAAUCAUAAUAUUUUCAUACAUACAGUGAUAACAAUGAGUAAAUUAGUUAUUAUAUAAUAAAUUAAAUUAUUUAAAA